rnacentral:lncRNA from 1 species
UCACUUGCAAAUACAAUAAUUUAUUCAAUAUUCAAAUACAAACCAUUAAAAUAUAUAUUACUGCAAGCAUAAAAAUAUUUUACAGAUGGCAGUAAUUAAAAUAAAUAAAUUUACAAACUUUAUGUAGCACUAAAAUACAUGUCCAAAAUUAGGAAAGGAAUGUUAUUACCUCCCCUCAAAAUUAACACUCCACAUUUAAUCUUGGCAUAAGGGACUCACCAAUCUCAGGAUCUUGAAUAAUUCCUAUAAUAAAAGUAAAAAUUACGUCAAUAAGACUUAACAGCAUCAACAAUAAACAAACAUAUGUAAGAAGUAAAGAAAUUUUACCUGACUCAAUGCUUUCAAUAUCAUCUAUUGAUUCUUCUAGUUGAAUAGGUUUAUUUGAACUUCUAAGCUAAUCUUGACAACAAAUGAGGACCUCCGCUGUUGUAGGAAGUAAAGAACUUCUAUAUUGUUAAAAGAUGUUUUGACAAUUUUUUUUCAAGUUUUGUUUGAUCAUUUUCAAAAAAAAAUUAAAUUUAUAAAAUAUAAUUUAAUAUAUUUUUAUAUUUUAAUAUUAAUUUAUAAUAUUUUAAAAGUUAAUAAAUUAAUUAUUUCUAAAUAUUUAAUUUUUUAAGUUUUAUUAGUAUAAUAAUAUAAAAAUUAUUUUUAAAAUAUU